rnacentral:tRNA from 1 species
GGCCUCGUAGCUCAGUUGGUAGAGCGUGCCUUGUACAAAAGCCGUAGGCGUUGUUUAUGCGUGGGUUUGACUCCCACCGAGGCUA